rnacentral:rRNA from 1 species
CACAUUAUACCACCGUGUCAAAGCCUGAGCUCGUCUGAUCUCAGAAGCUAUGCAGGGCUGGCCCUGGUUAGUACUUGGAUGGGAGACCACUGGGAAUAUGAGGUGCCACAGUGG